rnacentral:rRNA from 1 species
GACGAACGCUGGCGGCGUGCUUAACACAUGCAAGUCGAACGGAAAGGCCCUGCUUUUGUGGGGUGCUCGAGUGGCGAACGGGUGAGUAACACGUGAGUAACCUGCCCUUGACUUUGGGAUAACUUCAGGAAACUGGGGCUAAUAUCGGAUAGGAGCUCCUGCUGCAUGGUGGGGGUUGGAAAGUUUCGGCGGUUGGGGAUGGACUCGCGGCUUAUCAGCUUGUUGGUGGGGUAGUGGCUUACCAAAGCUUUGACGGGUAGCCGGCCUGAGAGGGUGAACGGCCACAUUGGGACUGAGAUACGGCCCAGACUCCUACGGGAGGCAGCAGUGGGGAAUAUUGCACAAUGGGCGGAAGCCUGAUGCAGCAACGCCGCGUGCGGGAUGACGGCCUUCGGGUUGUAAACCGCUUUCGCCUGUGACGAAGCGUGAGUGACGGUAAUGGGUAAAGAAGCACCGGCUAACUACGUG